GAAGUAACAGUACCAGGGUGGAUGCUGUGGCUUAAGCCUGUAAUUGAGCACCUUGGGAGGCUUAGGCAGGCAGAUUUCUUGAGCCCAAUUAUUGGAGACCAACCUGGGAAACAUGGUGAAACCCAGUCUCUAGUAAAAAUACAACAAUUAGCCAGGUAUAGUGGUGUCCACCUGUAGUCCUAGCUACUUGGGAGGCCAAGGUGGGAAACAGAUUGAGGCUGGGAGCUAUAGAUUGCAGUUAGCCAAUCUCAAACCACUGCACUCCAGUUUAGGCUCCAGAGUGAGA
rnacentral:lncRNA from 1 species